AGCUUGCAUUCGCAGUCCAAUCUUCAAAAUUCAAAUACUCGUUGGCAACGUCAGAUGAACAUCCAAGGCAGUUUCUUAGUAUGCCAGAAGAAGCCCAGCAGAUGGUUCUUUAACCUGAGGCACACCUUGCAGUUUGGCAUUGGAUUACACCAUGUCGGUCUGAAUGACAAAGAUAGAUCUAUGGUUGAGGAGCUUUUUGCAAACAACAAGAUUCAGGCAUUUCUGUUUUACCUCAGUAUUGGUUUGUACCAGUACAUUGGCAUGGGGUGUAAACCUUCCAGGUCAUCAUCUGUUCAUUAUUAAGGAGUAUAUUGCAGCAGCUGUUCUUCAGGACAAAUUUAUGGUUUAUGGUUUGAUGGGGAUUCUUCCCUUAUGGAUGAUGCCAUGCAUGAAUGUUGAACUUGCUAACUCGCUAAGCAGAAGAGGAAUAUUCAGCGUACAGCUACUAUUCCCCAAGGCAACUUUGCAGACCAUGAUUGGAAAUUUUCCUGCUUCAAAAAUGUAUCUGGUACAGACUUCUAAGAUAGUGGAAACAUGGCUGACUAACCCACAGGUCAAGAUUUAACAUGACUGGACAACUUUUUGACUGGGCUGGAAUAUUUUGUUCUUCUAGGAUCUGCAGCCUUUUCCAUGCGUCGAAGUGAAAUUAAAACUUCAGCGAAAAGUCUCGCUCUUUAGACAUCACACUGGUGAACACUAAUUUCAGGCAAAACAAAUCAGGAGCGUUUACCCCGCUUUUCCCUAAGGUGAAAAACGAAGCAUGGUGGUUGGUCCUUGCGAACACCUCAACAUGGGAAUUAUAUGCCCUCAUAAGAGUAUCUUUCUCUGAUCACUUGGUUACUCACAUGGAGUUACCAUCAGUUCCUAAGACUCUCCAGAUUGUCAUCUACGGUUCGAGCAAGAGCACUCUAUUUCACAACUUAUUGAACUGCAGUAACCAAAGGAAGAUAUCUUAUCAGUCGGAUACAUUGGACCUUAGGUGUAUAUAUUCGAAUAUAUUUACCAAGUAUAACUGCCCGGCUAUACUUUUAAAUAUAUAUCUCCUUCUUGAUGUAUUUGAGUGAGAUUGAGUAGUAGUUGUGAGUCGAGUCCCUUUCCUUCUCAUACUCUAACCCUAGAAGAAAGGGGUUAAAAAGAGUAAAUACCAAGAAGACUUUUUUUAGGACAUGGACAUUUAGAUUCAAAUCGCAUUCAAGCAAUUUUAUACCUAGAAAUUCAACAUUCUUUGAUCCACAAAAUGUUGGUGGAUCCCUUUUGUUGUUGUAUUUAUGGGUUAAACUCCUAUUAUUUCUUAUAAAUAAAAUCCAUUUUUUA